GACGAACCGUGCGAACGUUGUUCGGAAUCACUGGGCUUAAAGGGCGCGUAGGCGGCUUGGCAAGUCAGGGGUGAAAGCUUUCGGCUCAACCGGAAAAGUGCCCCUGAUACUGCCGAGCUCGAGGGAGGUAGGGGCGGACGGAACUUCCGGUGGAGCGGUGAAAUGCGUUGAUAUCGGAAGGAACGCCGGUGGCGAAGGCGGGUCUCUGGGCCGAUACUGACGCUGAGGAGCGAAAGCGUGGGGAGCGAACAGG
rnacentral:rRNA from 1 species